rnacentral:rRNA from 1 species
AUGAACGCUGGCGGCGUGCCUAAUCCAUGCCAGUCGAGCGAACAGACGAGGAGCUUGCUCCUCUGACGUUAGCGGCGGACGGGUGAGUAACACGUGGAUAACCUACCUAUAAGACUGGGAUAACUUCGGGAAACCGGAGCUAAUACCGGAUAAUAUAUUGAACCGCAUGGUUCAAUAGUGAAAGACGGUUUUGCUGUCACUUAUAGAUGGAUCCGCGCCGCAUUAGCUAGUUGGUAAGGUAACGGCUUACCAAGGCAACGAUGCGUAGCCGACCUGAGAGGGUGAUCGGCCACACUGGAACUGAGACACGGUCCAGACUCCUACGGGAGGCAGCAGUAGGGAAUCUUCCGCAAAGGGCGAAAGCUUGACGGAGCAACGCCGCGUGAGUGAUGAAGGUCUUCGGAUCGUAAAACUCUGUUAUUAGGGAAGAACAAAUGUGUAAGUAACUAUGCACGUCUUGACGGUACCUAAUCAGAAAGCCACGGCUAACUACGUG